rnacentral:lncRNA from 1 species
ACAGCAGAUGACUUAGACCAUCGGCAUAACAGAACUACUAGCCGAUGGUUCCUCAUGGAUUCUACCAACUUAGACCAUCGACAUAACAGAACUACUAGCCGACGGUCCCUCAUGGAUUCUACCGAUAUAUGAUCGGUUCUACCGAUAUAUGAUCGGCCAAUCUGCUCAACAUACCAUAACUGUCAUGAACGGUUACCGGCCGCAUAUCACGAAUGCGAUCAGUGGGAAUUAACAAU